UUAGGUCCUGGCUAAGCUUUAGGGCCAAUAUACCCCUCUUGACUGCCCAUUGAGACCAUUUGCUGCUGAGUUUCUGCUAUUUGGUUUAGCUCCUGGCCUCCUAGACACCUGAAAAGACCCAUGAUGGCCCCCUGCAGCCUUGAUGGGAGAGUCUUAUUAGAAGCUUUCUUAGGUGGUUCAGAAGGAAAAAACAAAGGGAAAACCUCAGUCCCACUGGGUUCCCUGAAUUUAAAUUGUGUCACCUGACUAGUUCUCCUGACUUAACAAAGGGACAACCAGGCUCUUGGGGAGAAAUCUCAGGGCAGAAAUGUUACCUGUUUGCCAGGCCUUUCUGGCUAGGCCAAGAGGGAGCCAUUCCAUCAAGCCUCUAAGGAGGCUGGCUCUGCUAUGUUCUCACUAAUGCUUGUGGACUCUAGAGAUCCAUCUUGGCACCUCAGCUUUGAAGCAGGCUGUGAGACCAGGACCUCCUGGUGCAAAAUAAAGCAACUCUUAUGUUGAGCAGCAGGGGAGACGAAGGCCUCACCUGCGGGAAGCACACUGGUGGAGCCAGCAAGUGAGCAAGAACCUGGGAGUAUCUGACUUUGGGGUAAAGUGCUAGACGCUUCACAGACAGCUGGAAAUCCACCUUUCCUAAAUUCAAGGUCAUGUGGUAUAUUGGAAGAGAAAGGGAUAGAACAUUAACACCCUGAGUGCUGGACAGGGGCUUGUAUGCUAAACUCUGAAUCCUGUUCCUGACCAGACUCUGGCCGUAAGGACGCUAUACUUUGCCUGGUGCUGAAAUGUCCUAGUGUAGGGAUAUGGGAAUUUCCUUCAAGCCCGCUACAGAUUUCUAGGCAAUUCAGCUUCCUAUUAAUGUACGUUUUCUGCCUUCAUGCAGGAAUACAGAUAAAACCUACAGAAACAGUAAAAGUGCUGGCUUCAGGCACAGGUGGAUUUGUACUGUUCACAUUUCAUCCCAGGUUUGUAAGCAUCACAGGUUAUGGGGCAGCUUCUUCAGAGUUGGAGGACUGGGGUCAUUUCCUCUGAAUACUUUAAAUGGCUUUAUUACCUAGCAGGCAAUUUGAUGUGAUGUCAUCUCACUCUUGAGAUCAUUCAUGGAACUUGCUUUUCAGUUGGGCAGCAACAGCUAGCUACUCUGGUGUUGUGGUGGUAUUAUAAUACCUCAUCAAGGAUUUUCUUAUGACACCUCCUUUAGGAAGGAAAAGGCUAACUCAGUUGAUAGAAGUAUAGUUGUGCUGUGGUCAUGUUAGGCAGAAACACCAGACACAUGAGCUGUUGGGAGACAUCUUGGUGAGGCUCAGUACUGCAGUCUGUUCACUUUGUAAACCUGCUUUCUGCUCUCCUGACUCAGAAAUGUUCAGCUUCAAAAUGCAAGAAGCACCAUCAAAUGCUGCUUCUCAGCGGGAACUUGCUCCACAGGAAGGUCCAGUGGAAUUUGCAGCUGGAAUCACAUUUACUGGUUUGUGACCAAAUUUACUGGUUUUCAAUCUUUUCCCAUCAGGCAGUUACUGGUAGCCGCUUUGGAUUCUUGUGGAUGUGCCUCAGCUUCUUGGCACAUUACAAAGGGCCCAACAGGUAAAAUACUUGAAACUUCUCAGUGGCCAAGACCUCAGAUACCCUCUCUGAUGGGUGGGAACUGGGCUAUUUUCCUGACCAGUCUAGGCCACCAUUUUAGUCCCCAGUCACAUCCCUUACUUCAAACUGAAAUUCAGUUUGGCUUUGAGUAUAGGCACAUAUGAUGGAUUCACCUACUUCAGUGUUUUGACCAAAAGUUUAUUUUUCUAGUGCAUUUUUCUAAGUGGUGAAAAUAUGUAAUUUUAGUAUGCAUGACUGGGUCUCCAAAAUAAAAACCCCUGGAAAGCG
rnacentral:lncRNA from 1 species